ACGGGGUGCAGCAGGCGCGAAAACUUCACAAUGUGCGAAAGCACGAUGAGGGAAUCCCAAGUGCUUGCACGUAAGUGUAAGCUGUUUCUAUGUUUAAAACGCAUUGAGAGUAAGGGCUGGGUAAGACGGGUGCCAGCCGCCGCGGUAAUACCUGCAGCUCGAGUGGUGGCCGCUAUUAUUGGGCCUAAAACGUCCGUAGCCGGUUUAAUAAAUGCCUGGGUAAAUCGUGUAGCUUAACUAUACGAAUUCCGGGUAGACUGUUAAGCUUGAGAUCGGGAGAAGUUAGAGGUACUCCUGGGGUAGAGGUGAAAUUCUGUAAUCCUAGGGGGACCACCAGUGGCGAAGGCGUCUAACUAGAACGAGUCUGACGGUGAGGGACGAAGCCCUGGGGCGCGAACCGGAUUAGAUACCCGGGUAGUCCAGGGUGUAAACGCUGCUUGCUUGAUGUUAGUCGGGCUUCGAGCCCGAUUAGUGUCGGAAAGAAGUUGUUAAGCAAGCUGCCUGGGAAGUACGUCGCAAGAC
rnacentral:rRNA from 1 species